GUGCUCCCAGUGACCAGAGCAGUGGAACCUCUUCCCCUCUCUGUGACAGUGGCUUACACCUCAACUACCAUCCCAACAACACAGACACAUUGUCAUGUUCCUCAUGGCCAGCGUCUCCGGGCUUGCGAUGGGAGAAGAGGUGGUGCGACCUGAGGCUGAUCCCCCUACUGCACUCGCGCCUCUCUCAGUAUGUGCCUGGGACAGAUUUGUGUCGGCAGAAUGCUUUUCAAGUCACUGCUGUGGAUGGGGUCUGCAGUGGGAUCAUUCAGUGCCUAUCUGGUGAAGAAUGUAUUGACAGGCUACAAGCAAUAGCAACUAAUAUUUCAAACCUC